rnacentral:rRNA from 1 species
AUUGAACGCUGGCGGCAUGCCUUACACAUGCAAGUCGAACGGUAACGGGCCUUCGGGUGCCGACGAGUGGCGAACGGGUGAGUAACAUAUCGGAACGUACCUUUCAGUGGGGGAUAACGUAGCGAAAGUUACGCUAAUACCGCAUAUUCUGUGCGCAGGAAAGCAGGGGACCUUCGGGCCUUGCGCUGAUUGAGCGGCCGAUAUCAGAUUAGCUAGUUGGUGGGGUAAAGGCUCACCAAGGCGACGAUCUGUAGCGGGUCUGAGAGGAUGAUCCGCCACACUGGAACUGAGACACGGUCCAGACUCCUACGGGAGGCAGCAGUGGGGAAUUUUGGACAAUGGGGGCAACCCUGAUCCAGCCAUGCCGCGUGAGUGAAGAAGGCCUUCGGGUUGUAAAGCUCUUUCGGCCGGGAAGAAAUCGUAUGGGCUAAUACCCUGUGCGGAUGACGGUACCGGCAUAAGAAGCACCGGCUAACUACGUGCCAGCCGCCGCUGUAAUAC